CUCCUGGAAACGGGUGGUAAUGCCGGAUGCUCCGCCCCCUCGCAUGGGGGGUCGGGAAGGCUUUUGCGGAAUGGGAUGGGGUCGCGUCCUAUCAGCUUGUUGGCGGGGCGACGGCCCACCAAGGCUUCGACGGGUAGCCGGCCUGAGAGGGCGACCGGCCACAUUGGGACUGAGAUACGGCCCAGACUCCUACGGGAGGCAGCAGUGGGGAAUAUUGCACAAUGGGGGGAACCCUGAUGCAGCGACGCCGCGUGCGGGAUGGAGGCCUUCGGGUCGUGAACCGCUUUUGAUUGGGAGCGAGCGUGAGUGAGUGUACCUUUCGAAUAAGCACCGGCUAACUACGUGCCAGCAGCCGCGGUAAUACGUAGGGUGCAAGCGUUGUCCGGAAUCAUUGGGCGUAAAGGGCUCGUAGGCGGUUCGUCGCGUCCGGUGUGAAAGCCCAUCGCUUAACGGUGGGUCUGCGCCGGGUACGGGCGGGCUUGAGUGCGGCAGGGGAGGCUGGAAUUCCCGGUGUAACGGUGGAAUGUGUAGAUAUCGGGAAGAACACC
rnacentral:rRNA from 1 species